rnacentral:rRNA from 1 species
UAGUCUGCAACCCGGCCUACAUGAAGCUGGAAUCGCUAGUAAUCGCGGAUCAGAAUGCCGCGGUGAAUACGUUCCCGGGUCUUGUACACACCGCCCGUCACACCAUGGGAGUCGGAAAUGCCCGAAGUCUGUGACCCAACCUCAGGGAGGGAGCAGCCGAAGGCAGGUCAGAUGACUGGGGUGAAGUCGUAACAAGGUAAC